GAUGAACGCUGGCGGCGUGCCUAAUACAUGCAAGUCGAGCGAACAGACGAGGAGCUUGCUCCUCUGACGUUAGCGGCGGACGGGCGAGUAACACGUGGAUAACCUACCUAUAAGACUGGGAUAACUUCGGGAAACCGGAGCUAAUACCGGAUAAUAUAUUGAACCGCAUGGUUCAAUAGUGAAAGACGGUUUUGCUGUCACUUAUAGAUGGAUCCGCGCCGCAUUAGCUAGUUGGUAAGGUAACGGCUUACCAAGGCAACGAUGCGUAGCCGACCUGAGAGGGUGAUCGGCCACACUGGAACUGAGACACGGUCCAGACUCCUAAGGGAGGCAGCAGUAGGGAAUCUUCCGCAAUGGGCGAAAGCCUGACGGAGCAACGCCGCGUGAGUGAUGAAGGUCUUCGGAUCGUAAAACUCUGUUAUUAGGGAAGAACAAAUGUGUAAGUAACUAUGCACGUCUUGACGGUACCUAAUCAGAAAGCCACGGCUAACUACGUG
rnacentral:rRNA from 1 species